AUAAUGGGUCAGCGACUUAUAUUCUGUAGCAAGGUUAACCGAAUAGGGGAGCCGAAGGGAAACCGAGUCUUAACUGGGCGUUAAGUUGCAGGGUAUAGACCCGAAACCCGGUGAUCUAGCCAUGGGCAGGUUGAAGGUUGGGUAACACUAACUGGAGGACCGAACCGACUAAUGUUGAAAAAUUAGCGGAUGACUUGUGGCUGGGGGUGAAAGGCCAAUCAAACCGGGAGAUAGCUGGUUCUCCCCGAAAGCUAUUUAGGUAGCGCCUCGUGAAUUCAUCUCCGGGGGUAGAGCACUGUUUCGGCAAGGGGGUCAUCCCGACUUACCAACCCGAUGCAAACUGCGAAUACCGGAGAAUGUUAUCACGGGAGACACACGGCGGGUGCUAACGUCCGUCGUGAAGAGGGAAACAACCCAGACCGCCAGCUAAGGUCCCAAAGUCAUGGUUAAGUGGGAAACGAUGUGGGAAGGCCCAGACAGCCAGGAUGUUGGCUUAGAAGCAGCCAUCAUUUAAAGAAAGCGUAAUAGCUCACUGGUCGAGUCGGCCUGCGCGGAAGAUGUAACGGGGCUAAACCAUGCACCGAAGCUGCGGCAGCGACGCUGAUGCGUUGUUGGGUAGGGGAGCGUUCUGUAAGCCUGCGAAGGUGUGCUGUGAGGCAUGCUGGAGG
rnacentral:rRNA from 1 species